rnacentral:rRNA from 1 species
AAAAGCCGCGUACGGAGCCCCUUUGGUGAUCGUACUGCAAACCGACUCAGGUGGACGGGGUGAAUAUCCCAAGGCGCGUGAGAGAACCCUGGUUAAGGAACUCGCAAAUUGACACCGUAACUUCGGGAGAAGGUGUGCCGCUGGCGGUUAGUGACUUCGCGUCACGAAGCUGUCGGUGGUCGCAGUGAAAUGGCGGUUGUGACUGUUUACUAAAAACACAGGACUCUGCGAAGUCGUAAGACGACGUAUAGGGUCUGAUGCCUGCCCGGUGCUGGAAGGUUAAGGGGAUAUGUCAGCGCAAGCGAAGCAUUGAACCGAAGCCCCAGUAAACGGCGGCCGUAACCAUAACGGUCCUAAGGUAGCGAAAUUCCCUCGGGUAAGUUCCGACCUGCACGAGGGCAUAACAACAUCCGCACUGUCUCGACCAGGGACUCAGCGAAAUUACAUUGGGGGUGAAGAUGCCCUCUACCCGCGGAAAGACGGAAAGACCCCAUGAACCUUUACUGCAACUUGGCAGUGGUUUUCGGGUUGUUCUGCGUAGGAUAGGUGGGAGGCUUUGAAGCCGGGCUUCCGGGUUCGGCAGAGCCAACGUUGAAAUACCACCCUGAAUAAUCUGGAAAUCUAACCUGCGCCCAUGAUCUGGGCGAGGGACACUGCCUGGUGGGCAGUUUGACUGGGGCGGUCGCCUCCUAAAUUGUAACGGAGGCGUGCGACGGUUCCCUCAGGCUGAUUGGAAACCAGCCGUAGAGUGCAAACGCAUAAGGGAGCUUUACUGCGAGACUGACAAGUCGAACAGUUGCGAAAGCAGGUGUUAGUGAUCCGGUGGUACCACAUGGAAGGGCCAUCGCUCAUCGGAUAAAAGGUACUCUGGGGAUAACAGGCUGAUCGCGCCUGAGAGUUCACAUCGGCGGCGCGGUUUGGCACCUCGAUGUCGGCUCAUCGCAUCCUGGGGCUGGAGCAGGUCCCAAGGGUUUGGCUGUUCGCCAAUUAAAGCGGUACGCGAGCUGGGUUUAAAACGUCGUGAGACAGUUUGGUCCCUAUCUUCCGUGGGCGCAGGACACUUGAGAGCAGCUAUCCAUAGUACGAGAGGACCUGGAUGGACGAACCUCUGGUGCUCCGGUUGUCACGCCAGUGGCAUAGCCGGGUAGCCAUGUUCGGAACAGAUAACCGCUGAAGGCAUAUAAGCGGGAAGCUGGCCUCAAGACUAGGUGUCCCUGACGCAAGUCACUAAAGGCCCCUCGAAGACUACGAGGUUGAUAGGCUCGGUGUGGAAGCGCUGCGAGGCGUGGAGCUAACGAGUACUAAUAGGCCGUGCGACUUGACCCC